AGCCCCGGCCGGUAUCACCCGGCGUCUGCGGAUUUGCAAUCCAAUAUGUAAUACACCACAAGGCU
rnacentral:tRNA from 1 species